GUGAUCUAGCCAUGGGCAGGUUGAAGGUUGGGUAACACUAACUGGAGGACCGAACCGACUAAUGUUGAAAAAUUAGCGGAUGACUUGUGGCUGGGGGUGAAAGGCCAAUCAAACCGGGAGAUAGCUGGUUCUCCCCGAAAGCUAUUUAGGUAGCGCCUCGUGAAUUCAUCUCCGGGGGUAGAGCACUGUUUCGGCAAGGGGGUCAUCCCGACUUACCAACCCGAUGCAAACUACGAAUACCGGAGAAUGUUAUCACGGGAGACACACGGCGGGUGCUAACGUCCGUCGUGAAGAGGGAAACAACCCAGACCGCCAGCUAAGGUCCCAAAGUCAUGGUUAAGUGGGAAACGAUGUGGGAAGGCCCAGACAGCCAGGAUGUUGGCUUAGAAGCAGCCAUCAUUUAAAGAAAGCGUAAUAGCUCACUGGUCGAGUCGGCCUGCGCGGAAGAUGUAACGGGGCUAAACCAUGCAC
rnacentral:rRNA from 1 species